rnacentral:rRNA from 1 species
GUAACAGGUCUUUCGGGAUGCUGACGAGUGGCGAACGGGUGAGUAAUACAUCGGAACGUGCCCAGUAAUGGGGGAUAGCUCGGCGAAAGCCGGAUUAAUACCGCAUACGCCCUGAGGGGGAAAGUGGGGGACCGCAAGGCCUCACGUUAUUGGAGCGGCCGAUGGCUGAUUAGCUAGUUGGUAGGGUAAAGGCCUACCAAGGCGACGAUCAGUAGCUGGUCUGAGAGGACGAUCAGCCACACUGGGACUGAGACACGGCCCAGACUCCUACGGGAGGCAGCAGUGGGGAAUUUUGGACAAUGGGGGAAACCCUGAUCCAGCAAUGCCGCGUGUGCGAAGAAGGCCUUCGGGUUGUAAAGCACUUUUGUCAGGGAAGAAAUCCUUUGGGCUAAUACCCUAGGGGGAUGACGGUACCUGAAGAAUAAGCACCGGCUAACUACGUGCCAGCAGCCGCGGUAAUACGUAGGGUGCAAGCGUUAAUCGGAAUUACUGGGCGUAAAGCGUGCGCAGGCGGUUGUGUAAGACAGGUGUGAAAUCCCCGGGCUUAACCUGGGGAAUUGCAUUUGUGACUGCACGACUAGAGUGUGUCAGAGGGGGGGUGGAAUUCCACGUGUAGCAGUGAAAUGC